rnacentral:lncRNA from 13 species
CAAAAGUUAAAUUUCCGGCCAGGUGGCUUCCAAACCAUCCAGCAGCUUUAUUCAAGGCUUUGAAGUCUUGAGCCAAACAGUUCCAAAUCUUCAAUAUUUACCCUGCAGUCUCCAAAAACAAAAGUUGACUGUGUUCCUUGAAGUCAAUCUCACCAGCAUUUCAGGAUGACAGAUGGGAGAGGCUGAAAAAGAGUUAUUGGAUGACCUGGAACUUCUUGAAUACUUUGUACUAUUGGAAAUGUCCCAUGCACUUCAAGGGGUUGGCAGAUCCACCAGGACAGUGAGACAGAUCGAUCUUCCACCAUCCACAGGCCACAUAUCCAGUGGACACACAAUCCAGAAUGGAGACCUGGCUUGGAUGACCUCAGAUGCUGGGGGCUUAUUACAAAGAUACGUGGCAUAAGAUCAGAAACUUCACAGCUGCAUGACUGGCCCCAUAUAUCUGGAAAAUCAAUCUUUAUCUUUUUGGCUAUUGCAUGCAUAAAUUGCCAUAUUGUCAAACUAGUGUUUGCCUGCUCGUCUGCAAGGUAAGAAUCCUUUAUUCCUGUUUCUCAUUGUUCCCCCUUUCUUCUUUUCUUCCUUUUGUUGGUUGUAGAAGGUUGAGUAAAUUGAACUCCUCAGUCCAUGGCCCAUUAUUUAUUUUGUUUCCUUAUUUAUUUUAUCUCCAUUCCUUCACCCUGGUUUUUCUUCCUCCCUCCCUUGGGCGACCACUCUUAUUUGCAUUUAAUUUAGAUCCUUUGGUUUGUAUGCAGUCCUAGAAAACACUCAUUUUUUUGACCCAUGUAUUUUUUAAUUUAAAAAAAUGGUACUUUGUUAUGUAUCUCUUUGUGUUUCUUAUUUUUUUCACCCAGACUGUUUAUCAAUUCAUCCGUGGCAUUAGAUGUUCAGCCAGGCUGUUCAUGCUCACUGUUGCUUCAUUCUCCAUGAUAUAUACUCACCAUAUGCUGCCUACCUAAUCUGCAUUGACGGAUUUCCGGAUUGCCGCCAACUUCCUGUCACCACAAACAACACUAUAAUGAACAUCUUCAAAGACAUCUCCUUAUGGAUCUGGGCUGGGAAGAGCCAAUGGAAGCCAAAGGGGAGAGAAAGGACAGAGGAAGAUUUCCAGAGAUAUAGAGAACAACUCCUCAGUGAGCCAGCUUGGAGAGGACAAGUGGAGGGAGGCAUGCCUUCACCCUGUCGUUAGCAGAUGUUACCACCAACUCACUGUGGUACCAGAGCCAGCGGCGGCUGACUGAGGAACAUUUUCCAUCCCAGAUCCUUUAUUGUGAAAAAGAAUAAAGUAUAAAAUGGAUGGCA